rnacentral:rRNA from 1 species
UACGUAGGGGGCAAGCGUUGUCCGGAUUUACUGGGCGUAAAGCGUGCGCAGGCGGUUUUGUAAGCCAGAUGUGAAAUCCCCGGGCUCAACCUGGGAAUGGCAUUUGGGACUGCAAGGCUUGAGUGCGGCAGAGGAGACUGGAAUUCCUGGUGUAGCAGUGAAAUGCGUAGAUAUCAGGAGGAAUACCGAUGGCGAAGGCAGGUCUCUGGGCUGACACUGACGCUCAUGCACGAAAGCGUGGGGAGCAAACAGG